rnacentral:rRNA from 1 species
AGGCAGCAGGCGCGCAAAUUACCCAAUCCCGACACGGGGAGGUAGUGACAAUAAAUAACAAUACGGGGCUCUUUCGGGUCUCGUAAUUGGAAUGAGUACAAUUUAAAUCCCUUAACGAGGAACAAUUGGAGGGCAAGUCUGGUGCCAGCAGCCGCGGUAAUUCCAGCUCCAAUAGCGUAUAUUAAAGUUGUUGCAGUUAAAAAGCUCGUAGUUGAAUUUCGGGAUUGACACAUCGGUCGUGCCUUAAGGGGUAUGAACUGGUGUAGUCAAUUUCUCACCUUCUGGAGAACCGCGAUGCCCUUAAUUGGGUGUCGCGGGGAACCAGGACCUUUACUUUGAAAAAAUUAGAGUGUUUAAAGCAGGCAUUUUGCUUGAAUACAUUAGCAUGGAAUAAUAAAAUAGGACGGCAUGAUUCUAUUUUGUUGGUUUCUAGGAUCACCGUAAUGAUUAAUAGGGAUAGUUGGGGGCAUUAGUAUUCAAUUGUCAGAGGUGAAAUUCUUGGAUUUAUUGAAGACUAACUACUGCGAAAGCAUUUGCCAAGGAUGUUUUCAUUAAUCAAGAACGAAAGUUAGGGGAUCGAAGACGAUCAGAUACCGUCGUAGUCUUAACCAUAAACUAUGCCGACUAGGAAUCAGACGAUGUUAAUUUUUU